CCCGUGACCCCUGCCGGGUGGAGCGGGGUGAACUUCCUUCCUGUGGAGACCUGCAAAGGUUCUUCGAAACAACAGUUCUUUCCUGGGAUGCCAGUGUUGCCAGGACCAGGAGGAGACACUGGCUGUCUGAUGUGCCACUCACCUGAUCUUCAAGCAAACAUCAGGCUCACUUAGAGGGAUCCAUUGCAGAUUUUUGCCUGGUGGUUGUUGGGAUGGUUGUCGUGGCAACAGGUCUGGUUCAUGGGCAGAGCCAAACAUCUGGGCCAAUAUCCAUCCUGAAACACCAUUCCACUGUAAUUCUGCACAGGACAACGGAGGAUCGGAAAACCUGAGAACACUCUUGAAAUGGCAACAGGAAACAAGGAAAAAUGAAGCGAGCUCCGUGCCAAACGCUCUUUAAAGAUCCAAGAGUCCCAUCAGCAGUAGUGCAGAAUGGUCCAUAAACCCAGCGGGCUCCACUCAAGUUUCCAUCUGCUAAAUUGUAGUCCGGUUAAAUAAGAGACGGAAUCUUUUUCCAGCAAGUACAUUUAUCGCUUGACAUUUCCUCUUGUGAAAUGCUCAUAGCAGAACAUCACAACAGCAUAUGCUGAGCAUGCAAGAGUU